CUAGAUAUGUGUAGGACACGAGUGUCGGAUAAGAAAAUGAAUAGUCAGAGAAACAUAGCUUAUAAGGAACCUUUUUAAUUAAUGUGGAGGAAGUGAUGUUGUUAAGUUUCUGCAAACCUAAGCUUUUCUCUACGAUAUUUACGAGAGCAUAUCGUAUUUACAUAAAUAACCUGAUAUUGCAUAAACCUAAGCUUUUCU